rnacentral:lncRNA from 1 species
CUGUAGUCCAUGCCAUGAAUUUGGCCCAUAAUUUGAAUGCAAUUCACCAGGGUCAGAUUUGACCAAACCAAAUGAAAAAUAAGGGUAAAAGACCUUAUGUUAGUUAAUUAGGAAAGGAAACAGGGGCAUAGAGGGUAUUUGAACUUACAAGGAAUCCUGUAACAACCCCUAGAACAUUCUAGUGAGGGGUGUGAGCAUAAUUUCAUCCUCAAACUUGAGGCAC